ensembl:lncRNA
UGGUGAUGAGGUGCACAUCACUAGGUUGUCAAAUCAAAUGUUCUAAAAUACCACUUUAUUUGCGCAAUCAAAACAGAAUAUCAGAACAUUAGCAGAUUUUGGACCUAUAGGUAAUUGCCAAAGGUAUCACUUAGUGGUUGUUCUGAAGGCAUAAAUAUGGCCUUUAACUGGGAUUAGAGGUGAGAUCGGAAACUAGCAUGUAGCAGCUACCACCACUUAAACUGCUUCUCUAAGCUGCCUUUUUUUUUAUUGCGUGUGGAUGCAGCCAAAUCACAAAGGGCUGCAACUUUAGAGAAAAAAAUGCAAGCCGCCGCAGCUGGGAACACACGUGGCCAGUGCAAGAAACUUGCCAAUAAUCGCCCUCGAAAAGGCCAAAGAAUUGGAUCUUGAAGGAGAUGCGCUUUGCCUGCGUUUGUUAGGGGCAGCUGAACGCCACCAUAGCUAGCGCCUCCAGGCAUCUGCAAACCCGGCAUCGGCUGAGUGACUCUCAAAAGUCUGGAGGCUCCGAAGUGGGCGAGUGGGUGCGGACGCGCGUGUGAAAUCGCAGCAGAGAAGAUCGGCGCAGAAGACAGAGGCGGGGAAAAACCAUGUGAGCCACAGCUGCUGCUCCUGUGUGCAAAGAAAGGGAAAAGAAAGAAAGAGAGAGCGGAAAGGAGGACCAGGAGUUAAAGCGCAGAAGCGACGUCGUGGGGGUCCCCCGAAAGUCUCUAGGUGUGCUUUUGUUUGUAAGCCGGAGGAGACUUGGAAGAUGGAGAUGGAUGUGAACAAGAAGGGAGUUCCGCCUCCGCCUCCCCCUCCGUGCCCAGAGCCCAUCCCCCACCACGCGCCAGGGUCUGACUCUGGAGGCUGCCAACGGAGGAGGCAAGAAGGCGACCGGGUUCAGGAUCCAGAUCGGCAUGAAGAACCCGCCGCCGGGGUCAGCGGCGGCACCAGCAGGCAGCCGCCGGCGGAGAAGAAGCCAAGCGGCGAGAAGGAAGACAAAAAGAAGUCUACAGUCAGCAAGACCUCAGGGGUUCCUUCAUAUGGCCGAUGGUCAGCUUCUCAACUGCAUCAGCCUAACUCCACCGUGAGAACCUACCAAAAUAGUAAAUAUCGAGUAACCAUGAGCCCUGGCUUUAGUUCUCAGUGGAGCAGCAGCCAACCUCUUUGGAACACCUACACUUUCCCAAGGGCAAGCUUGCACUACCAGUCCCAUGCUAGCUAUACCUACUG